rnacentral:rRNA from 1 species
GAUGAGCCGAAGUCGGAUUAGCUAGUUGGUGAGGUAACGGCUCACCAAGGCGACAAUCCGUAGCUGGUCUGAGAGGACGACCAGCCACACUGGGACUGAGACACGGCCCAGACUCCUACGGGAGGCAGCAGUGGGGAAUAUUGGACAAUGGGGGCAACCCUGAUCCAGCGACGCCGCGUGUGUGAAGAAGGCCUGCGGGUUGUAAAGCACUUUUAGUGGGGAUGAAAAGCCUAGGGUUAAUACCUCUGGGUCUUGACCUAACCCACAGAAAAAGCACCGGCUAACUCUGUGCCAGCAGCCGCGGUAAUACAGAGGGCGCAAGCGUUAAUCGGAAUUACUGGGCGUAAAGCGUGCGUAGACGGUUAUGUAAGUUAGGUGUGAAAGCCCCGGGCUCAACCUGGGAAUUGCAUUUAAGACUGCAUAGCUAGGGUGCGGAAGAGGGAAGCGGAAUUUCCGGUGUAGCGGUGAAAUGCGUAGAUAUCGGAAGG